GAUGAACGCUGGCGGCGUGCCUAAUACAUGCAAGUCGAGCGAACGGACGAGAAGCUUGCUCCUCUGAUGUUAGCGGCGGACGGGUGAGUAACACGUGGAUAACCUACCUAUAAGACUGGGAUAACUUCGGGAAACCGGAGCUACUACCGGAUAAUAUUUUGAACCGCAUGGUUCAAAAGUGAAAGACGGUCUUGCUGUCACUUAUAGAUGGAUCCGCGCUGCAUUAGCUAGUUGGUAAGGUAACGGCUUACCAAGGCAACGAUGCAUAGCCGACCUGAGAGGAUGAUCGGCCACACUGGAACUGAGACACGGUCCAGACUCCUACGGGAGGCAGCAGUAGGGAAUCUUCCGCAAUGGGCGAAAGCCUGACGGAGCAACGCCGCGUGAGUGAUGAAGGUCUUCGGAUCGUAAAACUCUGUUAUUAGGGAAGAACAUAUGUGUAAGUAACUGUGCACGUCUUGACGGUACCUAAUCAGAAAGCCACGGCUAACUACGUG
rnacentral:rRNA from 1 species